UGUUGCCGGAAACAGAGGACCAGGAAACACGAAAGAAAGAGUGAAUCCUUAGCACAGGAUUCUUAGGCCUGGAAAUACUUGGUUAUUGAAGCAAACCGAUAUGUUCUGAAGUCGUCCUAUCACUAAUAUGCAGACUGGGGUGUCCCCAAAAUGUGAUUUGUUGAACGGAAGUGGUACAUUCCGUGUGCUUGUUGGGGUGACGGGUAGCGUCGCGGCUCUAAAACUGCCUCUUUUGGUCUCCCAACUUCUGGAAUUACCAGGGGUGGAGGUGCGAGUGGUUUCAACCGAGCAUGCUCAUCACUUCUAUAACCCGGCGGAGAUAUCGGUGAAGGUCUACACAGACAAGGAUGAGUGGGAGCUGUGGACGCAGCGCUCCGACCCUGUGCUGCACAUCGAGCUCAGGCGCUGGGCAGACCUAUUUGUGAUCGCUCCACUAGAUGCCAACACCCUUGGGAAAAUUGCAAGUGGCAUCUGUGACAAUCUACUGACGUGUGUGGUGAGAGCGUGGGAGAGCUCCCGGCCUCUCCUCUUCUGUCCCGCCAUGAACACGGCCAUGUGGAACCACCCAAUCACAGCCCGGCAAAUAACCAGCCUCAAAGACUUUGGAUACGUGGAAAUCCCCUGCAUUGCCAAGAAACUGGUGUGUGGAGAUGAAGGUCUGGGAGCCAUGGCAGAGUUGUCAACUGUUAUAAAUGUUGUGAAACAGUACCUUCAGAAGUCUGAGUCGUCUCGCCCCACAUGAAAGUGAUAUAUCCUGUAUGAGGAGUCCAAAGAGCGGUGCACAGGUGCGAGCUUGGUCUGAUGUAACGCAAACAUGUCACUCGCUGCAGCCUCCGGGAGCCCGCAGCGGUGUUUCAUCAGAAAGUACAUCCUGGGAGAUCACCCACCCUGGGCCCGCCUGGCCUCAAGGCACAUGAUUACCUCUGGCUCCCUCUCGGGUGGUAAACAGUUCAGCCGCUCCCUCGGGAACAGGUGGAAGUUAUUUGAUUCAGGCGCCUUUCUCCCCAUCUCUCUAACGGAAGAGGAUUAGGGCCACAUGUGAUUAUUUAUUUUUUGAGUUCUAACUUUAAAUUAAGAAGAAAAAGUUCUCAUUAAAAUUACAGAAUUCUGCCUUUAUUCUCAGAAUCCUUACUUUAAAGUCAGAACUACUAAAACGAACAACAACAUGAUCCAAAAGUAGAAUAAUGAUGGAAUGAUUGAUUAAACUUACAAGGGUCUGAUUAGAACAGGUUUCAUUGCAGAUCCCUGGUGCUAACAAAGAAUCUUUGCAUCUGUCUAAAGUUUGCACCUUGUAGGAGCACACUAAGAUCCCAGAAAAGUCAAUAUUGGAGCUGCUUAUGAUUAACCGUUUCCAGGCGUUCUGAUCUCAAGUAUCAUCAGCCCUUUAUUUCAAUCCUGGUUCUCAUUGGUUCUAUAAAGUAUUCCGGUAGAAAUCCAUCAGAGGUCAUGGUUUAUAGGAUGCCAAGAGCGAUGCAACUAUUAUUUGAAUAGCUAGUACAUUUCAGUGAAUAUCGUUGCCUGUGUGCAAAUUCACUUUUUUUAUUACAUCUCUCAGCAAGUAAACAUACAAAUGAAUGUUGGGAAUACAUUUGAUUUUAUAGGUCGGUUCUGACAUUAUGAGGCAAAUGCUGCAUGUUUGUGAAUUCAAGAUAAUUGAGCGCUCAGGUAAUUGCAUGACAUUUUUUAUUAUCUUAACUUUUUUAUUAUCAUAACGUCAAUUUAGCUUUUCAUUCAUUUAUUUCGUUUUGAAUGUUGCUGUGAGUGUAUGCCACAUCCAUUACCCCCUGGAGGCCACGUGUUGAUGGGUCUUCAGGUGAGACGCCAUGGCAACUGGAAAUGAGGAGACAGGAAAGUUCUCUUAAGGGAGAUGGCUCAUCCCUUAGCAAGCAUCCCUUUGCCUAAGAUGCUACAGGGACCGAUGAGACAGUGGGUCUACACAGAGCCCGACCUCGUUUAUAACCCCCACAAACUACUUAGACAGAAACCCUUUCCGCAAAUUAACAUUCCUCCAUCUCUCCACCAUAAUAAACCCUACAAAUUUAAUUUAUUUAUUUAUACGAAUUUAUUAAAUUAAACUAAUAUCCGUUAAACAAGUAAAAAAGAAAGAAGAACAAAUCUCAAAAUAGCAAAAUACACAAGCAGGUGGGAGCAUUUUAUAGUCUCCCCUGCAUGCAGUGCACCAGAACAUGCACAAGUAAACAGCAGCAGCCAGCAGCAGGCGAGCUGUCGCUCACUUCAGGUCACCAUCCCUGACCGCAUUUCACCGCGUUUGUUAAUUGACACGUGACUUUUUUGAUACUCGAUCAAGGCUGCAUGCAUAUUCAAUAAGUUGCCAAAUAAAUGCAGUUUAGCCACGAUGUCAGUGGGUAUCCAUUAACCCCGCCCAUCGAUCAAAGCCAAUCCUCUUUAGACACACACACACAGACACACACUUCAUUUACACACAAACACACACACACACACACACACACACACACACACACACACACACACACACACACUCUUCUGCUCUUCUCCACUGGUUGAUCAGUGUAUUGUGUGCGAAUUAGUGUGAGCUUUGCAGCGCACUGAAUUCCCCCUCCACGCGUCAACACUGGUCCCACGCUCACAACACGGUCCUGCAAGCUGUGUUUCAUGGAGAGUCUCAGGGCAUGUAGUGGAGUUUUAACACUGGAGAGGACAGGAGGACUGUUGGUGAAGUGGGCACAUGAUGGACAGCCAACGGGCUCCGAGUCUCAAGGACCCCGCGGCUCAGAGUAAAAUGCUCCUGUUUGAGGAGACGCCCGUAGGCGCCAUGCCUGGGUUCCUUGGUCCCCGCGGUCAGAAGUAUCCCGUGCCCUACUAUGCGUACGACCCGAGAGAGAAGGACGAAGCAGGGCUGAUUCUCGCCUGGAGUGGGCCGAGUGCUGGCUUGACGGCGGAAGGCAGGAGUGCUGUGAGUCAUCAGUCUGGCAUGAGGGGCAACAGCCAGAGCGUCUACCAGCCAUACAAGAAGACUUUCAGCCCAGAGGAAUGCCAUUCACGUUCCCCCUCAGUGUGUGGCACCCCAGGCAAGCCCGUUUCCUCACAAUACACAAGAAGUCCGGAUAUGAGCAGUCCUUUGGCCUGUUCGUCAACAUCUGUCAUCAAUCAAACAGCAGGACGUAGCAGUGCAUCCCAGUCACCUCAAACCUCCAUGCAUCUAGCCAUCCCCAAGGCGGUCUAUGGACAAAGGCCAUGCUGUUCUGAGCGGGGCUGUGUUUUAGGACAAAGAUAUGGUGUAGAGCAUGUGACUCAGAGGGUGCCUAGCGCCGUCCAUGAGAGUGACUGGAUGAACACUGGUGCCCACUACAGCCGUCCAUCUCCCAUUCACAGAACUGCACCAGAGUCGUCUCUGCAACAAAAAGGGACUCACUUUGAACAUGGUGGAGAAAGGGCGUUGCCAAAGGAUUCCAAUGGGGGAAAAUACCAGAAUUUAGGACCAUGUAGAGCAAGGACUAUACCUGGUUACUUUGAGUCGCCCUUUAGUAGUUACCCGUGCAUCCCAACUCACGCAUUGUUUGGCUCAUUAACUCCACAGAAUUUGCAGACUCCCCCAAAUGGAUAUCAUGGCCUUCUUCCAUCCCACCCUCACCCAUUCGAGCAUAUGACCUCAACACAACAUAGACUUCCAUCACAGGUUUGUCAGGAACCCUCUCCGAUGUCCAAAUAUGGGCAUCUUCCACAGCACCAUGGGUUUUAUUACCCUGAGGAAAAUUUGAGGAUGGAGGGUGCAUCAGUAUGUAAAAACAUUGAGAAGAUGCAUAGAGAAAGUGCCUCUGCAUUUUCUAAUCAUUUGUUCAAAAACGUACAGGAACAUCGCCUUCUCUAUCAGCCUGAUCAUGGGGAGACUUCUAUGAUUAACUCUGUUGCCAUGCCAAAUCCCUCAUUCUUUAGAGGUUUGGAUCCACGCUAUCCAGUUCCAAGGGUUCACAUGACCGCCAGCCAAGUGAGAGGCUCACCAAAGGAACAACACACACCUCUGAUCUAUCACACCAAUGGUCUCACUACAUCUCCAGUAGGCCAGCCCCAUGGUUCACCAGUCUACUUGCAUAAUGACAGCGGUAGCGCCCGAUCACAUGAUAAACCAUGUGGCUCCCCGCUGAACAUGCAUGUCGAGGCAAAAAGGCCCAGCGGGCAUGUGGAAAAGUUAUAUCUUUCCCCAGGCAGAUUACCAAGGAACAAAGUUCCACACAAUAGCCCGCAUGGAGAGCGAUUCAGUACCCCCCCCACCAUUACCCCGGACCGGCCGCUGGACUACUCCUGUCAUAAAGUCCAUGUCAUAACUUCAAAGCAGUCCAAGGACCAUACAGAUCCUACAGCAGUCCAAAUGUCCCCAACUCACUAUGGAGAACGUAUUCACAAAGUUUACAGUCAUGGUCAUAACAGGGCGUCAACGACGGACAUGUCUUCUCUGGUGACUAAUGAAGACCAUGGUACGUCGCCAUCUUGUUUCUCUACAACAGCUUUUAAAGGAAAACUCAAGAGGAGUUAUUCACAGGUUCCCAAUGCCUUCACCACCAGACCAAUAAAAAUGGAAAAAUGUGAUUCACCCGAUGAGGAACUUUUAAUCAAAAGACAAAAGUUGGAACUUGAGGGAGAUUUAAUGAAGAACGACAAUUCAACAGAUCAUCAUCCAAUGCCAAUCAUUGAUAAUGUCUUUAGUUUGGCCCCCUACAGAGCGCUCCUGCAGGCUUCUGGUAUGCUGCUCUCCAGUAAAAGGCUUUGGAGCAUUGAUCAGUGCACUAAACCAUGUGAAGAUAAAACAGACCCUUCUAUACAAGAUAAAGGACCAAGAGAAGAGGCAGAGCCCCCUUACGACGGCCCAGUGCCCAAAGAGCUGCUCUUCAGUAAUAACACAACAGUGAAGCCUACAUCAGAUCUUAUUGAACAAAAAGCAAUGAAGGUAGAGAAGCAGGAACUUGAAAUGGAUGACUGUGUAAACAGUCAUAGUAGAGUGAUUUCAGCGGACUGUUCCGAGGCUGCAGUAAAAGGGGAGGCCGCAGAGGUUUCUAUUCCUGACACUGGCCCCAUGUUUGUGAUCAAGAAGUGUGAACCCGAAGAGUUUGACAUUACCCCUCCAAAUGAAGUUUUAGAUGAGACUUCUAAAACAUGCCAUACCACACCAGAUGUUGGAUUAGAAUCUUCCCAUCAAGAAGAUGUCCAGCCACCCCCUGUACAACUGGAGGCAUUGAGUGAAACAUCCUCUAAAUCAACUACACCUGCUGUGCAAUCAGAGGACACACUCGGCACCCAAAGCACCCCUCAAUUUACUAUUUCCAAAUACAAAUUAAUCUUACCUGAUACCCACGGCAUUGCAUCUCGCCGCUCAAUAGAGAAGCCAGCCCUUCAAUCCAACAAGCCUCCGAUUGGGGCUAUGGUUGAGGUCAACAUUCAACCUAUUGUGGAGGUCCACAAGCCCCCUGUUCAACCUAUUGUGGUGGUCAACAAGCCACUCACUCUACCUGAGUUGGUGGCUGAGUUCAAACACCCUCCUCCGCAACAAACACCUCCCAUACAUGUCCGUGAGCGUUUCUUGAAGCUCCACCAUUGCCUCUGCAACUUGGUGACUGAGGUGGUAUCGGUCUCCCCAGAGCAGGCCCUCAGAGACUGGAUUUGUCAGGUGGAGAAGGUUAACUCUGCACUUUCUGCUAACAAAAACCACAGGAUAUCCUGUCUACCGGGCGUCGAAGCCGGACAAGCUUGGCUUAAUGUACAGAUCCAGUUGGCUCUGGACAAGGUGCUACUCAGGAUUGAGGAAUAUAUCUCACAGGAACAAUGUCCAUUUCCACAUGUCAUGCGGACCGGGGCAGUGUUUAUCCCCAUGAUGGUGGUGAAGAAGUUGCUGUUCCCUCAGGUCCAGGGUGGCCAUAUUGACCAGGUGCUGCAGAACCGUAAGGUGGAGCUGCGGCCCACCACUCUGUCUGAAGAGAAGCACCUCACUCAGCUCCACAGACAAGCCUUCUCGUCCAAACUCCGCAGGUUGAUGUCCCUCAAACACCUGCCUCACAUCUACACCGAUGUGCUAAACCUUUUCCAUCAUGCUUGUGUCUCCAAGCGCCUAGAAUCGUCCACAUCUGAUCUCCAAAAGAAAGUACAGGAGUAAAGCUGGAUGGGUUCUUAAAGACGGAGCUAGAAGACCGCUCAGAGGACCCUGAAGGCCUCAACACUCCUGCAUACAUUAAGGUUUUCACUGCCCCACCGUUUCCAGGGUCUAACAGGCAGAUGCAUCCACAGCAAGAGGGGGAAACGUUGUACCCUAUCAAAAGGAAAUCUAAAAGCAGGGUGAAGAGAUGUUCAAGGCAGGCGUUUCUGGAUUACAGGUCUUCCUCGCCGAACAUUGAAGUUGAAAACAAGGAGCAGGAGAGGAACUGGGACGACGUGAACUCACUGGGGGAAACCAAAACUGACGUGCAAAAUGGUCAAGAAGGGUCCGUAAGGGUUGAAGCACUGGUAGGCUCCCCGGGGAGCAAAGAGAACACCUGGACUUGUCCCCUAUCUUCGGAUGAAUUAUCUACAUCAUCCAGUGACAUGGAGAUGGAGGGAUCCUCCAUCCCCUCCCUGGUCAACCCUGCCUUAGACUCUGUGAAAGGUAAAAUGCGACCAAAGAAACCCUCGGGCAUGAUUCUCAAACUGCGGAGAGUGCUAUUUAGUAAGGGCCUCAAUGGUAGAACCGCAUGCUACAAGACGGUGUCUCAUUCUGGGACCUUUUCAGACUUUUCCCCCACCAGGGCCAAAAACGGAGAGAGGCUGAAGGCCAGAAAGCCGGGAGGCAAGAAGGACCUCUUCCUUGGUAGGUCGACCAAGGUCCCCAACUGGAACCAGAGAAGGGAGGGCUUCUCCUGGGCCCUGCGUUCUCUCUCCGGCUCUCAAAGACGCAGCAGAUCCCGUUUAAAGAUCCAGUACUGCCCGUACCUGUCUGCCUGCCACAGCGCCGAGCACCGGAGGCGCUGGGUGCUGCGCUCGGCCGUGCAGAGGGCUCAGGGAGCCAUCAAGUUCUGCUACCCGGACUUGGUGGGAAAGAAGAUCCUGCAUCUGUACGAGGAGGACGACAAGUCUGAGGUGUGGUACAGGGGUGAUGUGGUGAGCAUCCACGAGGCUCACCCCAACCCCCUGAAGAACGUGUUUGAGGUCAAAUACGACAGUGAACCUGAGUGGACGUACUUCCUGGAGCUGUUGAUGGACUUUAAAAAAGGUUGGCUGAAGAUUGCAGAGUAGGUCUUCGUUGGAGCUCUUCUGUGUGGGGGAUGUUUGGACUGUUUGAAAUCUGUUUUAUAGACCUGUGACUUUGCACUUACUUUUUUCUAAGUCUUAUUUGUACGUUUUGUAUAAUCAAACUAUUAAAGUAGGAUCUCACAGCUGUUUGUGAAAUGUGUGAGGGAGUGCCCUUUAUUGCUGUUGAAUUAUUAUUAUAAUUAUAUGCAACUUUCUGGUGGGUAAAAGCAAUCUUUAAUUCGUUUGACUCAAAACUAGCAGGAUAGAUCAAUUUCACGCUUCUCUAAACCUUUGAUAGACUUAACUUACUUAAAGGGUUAAUGGUUUGGUUGUGAUCACAAAAUCUUUGUUUUAUGUGUCUGAAGUGAACAUUGUUUGCAAUUCAUACACAAACCACUCUGCUUUUGGAACAUCAAGUCACUUAUAUAUAGCGUGUUUGAAUGCAUGUUCUAUAGUUGCUGGUCUUGGCAUUACUAUGGAUAUCAGCGCUGCUAAUUGUCUGAGAUGUGAAAAAGGGGAUUUCUGAUUGAAUUGUCAAAAUUCCCCUCAUUAGAUUUGUAUUUGUUUUGUAUGAAAUGUUUUUAACAUUGUUGGAUUCUAUCGUAUGACAUGAAGUAAACCUUUGAAGGAAAAACUGGUCUUUAGUCUACACUAAAGUUAAGUUUGAGGGUUAUUUUGGAUAGCGGGCAGCUAUUCAUCCAUACACAUACUGUACUCAAUGUGAAGAAUAUACAGAAAAUCCAAGUAAAAUAUCAAACGGGUGAAUUACUUUUACCAUCAAGUGAUUUGCAUCACUUGGAACAAAAGGCCUUGUGUGGUCAAGAUUGUGCAAUGGUCCGAAUUGUAUGUUCAUCACAAACCUGUGGCUUAAGAACACAUUCCAUCCAGUCUAUAUAUGGUUGUGUGCUUCCAUCACUAAAUUCCUUUUAGUAUAGAACACAAGCUUAAUAGGUAACUGGGGCAUGAAAAUACAUUCCUAUUGUGUAUAUUCACUUUUUUAGUGGGUGUAAGGAGUUUUAAUAAAAUCGGUUUAUCACAGCAUACAUGUAUAUUGUAUGCAUUAUGAAACAAUCACCCAUGCCAAAAGGGAUGUUUGCAAC